rnacentral:rRNA from 2 species
AACGACUCUCGGCAACGGAUAUCUUGGCUCUCGCAUCGAUGAAGAACGCAGCAAAAUGCGAUACUUGGUGUGAAUUGCAGAAUCCCGUGAAUCAUCGAGUUUUUGAACGCAAGUUGCGCCCGAAGCCCUUGGGCCGAGGGCACGUCUGCCUGGGUGUCACGC